AACGAACGCUGGCGGCAUGCCUAACACAUGUAAGUCGAACGAGACCUUCGGGUCUAGUGGUGAACGGCUGCGUAACGCGUGGGAACCUGCUUUUCGGUUCGGAAUAAUUCCCCGACAGGGGUUCUAAUACCGGAUAAUGUUUUUGGACCAAAGAUUUAUCGCCUUUGGAUGGGCCCGCGUUGGAUUAGCUAGUUGGUAGGGUAAACGCCUACCAAGGCGACCAUCCAUUGCUGGUCUGAGAGGAUCAUCGGUCACACUUGGACUGAGACACGGCCCAGACUCCUACGGGAGGAAGCGGUAGUGAAUAGUAGACAGUGAGCGAAAGCCUGAUCCAACAAAGCCGCGUGAGUGAUGAAGGCCUUAUGAUUGGAAAGCUCUCUUUCCCGAGAUGAUAAGUAGAGUACCGGGAGAAGAAGAUCCGACUAACUCCGUG
rnacentral:rRNA from 1 species